CGUUGCUUCACUCACCAACAGAGUGGCGGCGGCGGAGGAAGGCAUAAGGGGUACUACCCUGGCGCAAAACGCCACGGAUGCUGCAUUAAAUUCAUGCGCAAGCAAUGUGCCGAUCAACAAGCCCAACUAGCUGACAUUGAAGACAGGCAUAAGGCACGGAAUCUAAGAGUCCGGGGAGUACCGAAGACAAUCUCUGGCACCGAACUGCCUCAUUACUGCCGCAGGCUCACAGCCACAUUGCUGACACCAUGGCAAGCUAAGCAAAUAACCAUUGAUUCCUGCUUCAGACUCUCCAGGGCACCUUCCAUGCCGCGUGUACUGAUAAGAUUUGUGAGAGACUCAGACCGGGGAAUACUUAUGGGGGCCACAAGAGGCUCUCCCACAGUGCAGUUCGAAGGAGCGCAACUAGCCUUUUACAGAGACUAUUCAAGACACACCUUACAAUGGAGGAAAUCUUUUCGCCAGGUCACGCAAGUUCUACAGGAACAAGCCAUCCCAUACAAGUGGGGACCAUGCCACCUGCAAGCGGACAAGGGUAGAACGAUACACAAGAUAACACGUCUGAAAUGCCGACCUUCCUUUGAUCUCUAGGCAUACAGGCGCAGAUGACUCAAGCAACAGCCCGACCACCCUGGACUGUUGCAGAUAUUACCCCCUUCGUGCCCAGAGGAGAGGUUCUGCAAAUGGCUGCCCUACCUACCUGAUACGGGCACAGAUGCGCAGGUUCCAUGUAAUUUUACCUGUUACAACAACAGGCGCACUAAUAGUUCCCAAAGAUGUAAUUUUUUUAUAUAACC